GGCUGUCGGGGGGGAUGCUUUACGGACCUUCAGGUCCUGGAAGGGUAACACAGUUUGAAGAUGGAGGACAGCGGUGGCGCUUCUGCAGCGCAGGAGCCAAAGACUGCAAUAGAGAAGGCUAUACUGAAUCUUGUGGGAAUUCUGUCAACUUCCCAGUCUGAUAUUAGGAGUGGAACUGCAACCACAUCUGUUACAGCGACAGUGCCUCAGCAAACCCCAAGAGUGAGCACCCAAAUAGAAAUGCAAAGGUCAUUUCCAGCAAUGUUUCAAAGAAGGCAAUCCAAAGGAAAGAGGCCUUUCCCAGCUCCUAGUAAUGUCAUACAUGCAGUUCGCAACAUUCAGUUGCAAUUCUGUCUUUUGCCUGAUUCCACGACAAAAACCCCAAAGAAUGAAAUACGGCUUCUUCAAGCUGGAC